UACGUAGGGGGCCAGCGUUGCUCGGAAUUACUGGGCGUAAAGGGUUCGUAGGUGGUGCGGCAAGUUGGAAGUGAAAUCUCUGGGCUUAACCCAGAGGCUGCUUUCAAAACUGCCGCGCUCGAGUGCGAGAGAGGUCAGUGGAAUUGCAGGUGUAGCGGUGAAAUGCGUAGAUAUCAGGAGGAACACCGGUGGUGUAGACGGCUUUCUGGACCGUAACUGACGCUGAGACACGAAAGCGUGGGUAGCAAACAGG
rnacentral:rRNA from 1 species